GUACCAAGUUUGAAGUCGAUUGGACUUCAACUUCAUCAAAAACUACCUUGACCAAAAACUUUAACCUGAAGAGGGACAGACGGACGGACGAACAGACGAACGGACGCACAGACCAGAAAACAUAAUGCCCCCUUACUAUCGUAGGUGGGGCAUAAAAAUGCACAACUGUGUCAUGAUUUGUGAAAUCUGUGCUGAAAACAUAGGCAUUUAUGGUGUUUUGAGUAAUUCCAUCUGUGAAGCUCAACAUUAGCUCGUCAGUUGGUGGUGGACAGUUAUAAAUCUUUCCUGCAGGAUGAAUGUACA
rnacentral:lncRNA from 1 species